UGCAUAUCAAUAAGCGGAGGAAAAGAAACCAACAGGGAUUGCCUUAGUAGCGGCGAGUGAAGCGGCAAAAGCUCAAAUUUGAAAUCUGGCACUUUCAGUGUCCGAGUUGUAAUUUGAAGAAGGUAUCUUUGGGUCUGGCUCUUGUCUAUGUUUCUUGGAACAGAACGUCACAGAGGGUGAGAAUCCCGUGCGAUGAGAUGUCCCAGACCUAUGUAAAGUUCCUUCGAAGAGUCGAGUUGUUUGGGAAUGCAGCUCUAAGUGGGUGGUAAAUUCCAUCUAAAGCUAAAUAUUGGCGAGAGACCGAUAGCGAACAAGUACAGUGAUGGAAAGAUGAAAAGAACUUUGAAAAGAGAGUGAAAAAGUACGUGAAAUUGUUGAAAGGGAAGGGCUUGAGAUCAGACUUGGUAUUUUGUAUGUUACUCUCUCGGGGGUGGCCUCUACAGUUUACCGGGCCAGCAUCAGUUUGAGCGGUAGGAUAAGUGCAAAGAAAUGUGGCACUGCUUCGGUAGUGUGUUAUAGUCUUUGUCGAUACUGCCAGCUUAGACUGAGGACUGCGGCUCGGCCUAGGAUGUUGGCAUAAUGAUCUUAAGUCGCCCGUCUUGAACCAAC
rnacentral:rRNA from 1 species